rnacentral:rRNA from 1 species
ACAACUUUAUCGAAACU